AGAGAGAGACAUGCGCGCAUAUCAAUAAGCGGAGGAAAAGAAACUAACAAGGAUUCCCUUAGUAACGGCGAGUGAAGCGGGAAGAGCUCAAAUUUGAAAUCUUCAAGGUUCUACCUUGACGAAUUGUAGUUUAUAGAAGUGUUUUCUGUUAGUGGAGUGGCAAAAGUUCUUUGGAAUAGGACAUCAUAGAGGGUGAGAAUCCCGUAUUUGGUCAUUCCUCCUAGCGUUAUGAUACACUUUCAACGAGUCGGAUUGUUUGGGAAUGCAGUCCAAAAUGGGUGGUAAAUUUCAUCUAAAGCUAAAUAUUGGCGAGAGACCGAUAGCGAACAAGUACCGUGAGGGAAAGAUGAAAAGAACUUUGAAAAGAGAGUUAAACAGUACGUGAAAUUGUCGAAAGGGAAGCGUUUGACACCAGUGUUGUUUUUCCGAAAAUCAAUUACGAAUGUUUUAUUUUUGAGGAGUUAUGACUUCAUCGGCUUGCUCCUUUCUUUAUGAAACUUUCUUAAUGCACUUUUCGGUUAACAAGUCAACAUCAAUUUCUUUUGUUGUAAAAGGGUAUGAGGAAGGUGGCUUUCUUUUCGGAGAAAGUGUUUAUAGCCUUGUGCCUCUGCAAUCGGAGAGAUUGAGGUCUGCAGCGUAGAUCCUUCGGGGUUAGAUAGCAUUUGUGCUAAGUUAUAGCCUUUCAUAGACAACUUGUUGACUAUGAUUAGUCAUUGUAGCUUACUCGCUUACUGCUAUUUUACCUACGCUUAGGAUGUUGAUAGUCACAGCGUGUAC
rnacentral:rRNA from 1 species